AUGAGAUUAAGAAAAAAAAAAAGAAGAAGAAAAGAAAGAAAAACUCCAAAAGGAGGACAUGUUGUCUUUUCAGCCCCCAUUCCUCCCACAAGGAUACCGCAGCUGCGAUCCAGUCUUAAUCUGGGGAUAAACACGAUUAUCCUGCUAUGGCUUGUUCUUGGCUUUGUAACAGCGACAGGGGACCUUUCACAGCUCGCCUUUUUCCCAUGGUCGAGUGGGUCUGAGCAGCUAAGACCCCUGAUGUGGACCAGUCAUCGUUUAUCAGCUGUAGACUGGGGCAAGCAAUCAACCCCGCGCUGACUCUAAGGGAGCAAGAGACUGAAAAGAUGAGGACCAAAAUGGUACCAGAGUCAUCAAGCUGUAGAGGAUCAGGGGUCACUGUGAGGAAUCCCGUCUCCACUACUGGACUCAAAGUUUUCUCCCCACAUGCGAGCAGAGCUGCGCAAACAGAUCUCCCUUCAAGCUGAUUACAAAUAAAAUUGCUCUGCGAACAAAAAAAAAAAUUGUUCUCACACUCUUUGCAGAAGAUUCAUGCGUUUUCUUAUUUUAGAAAAUAAGCUAAAAGGUGUACAAAUGUGUGAAAUGAAUUUAAUUGCAAUGCCAUUUUAGUUUUUGUUUAUUUAUUUAAAUAUAAAUUUGUCCCGGAAAGCUAUUAGUAAAAUCAUAUUGUAUUCAGGUCUGUGUAUUUCAUCAUUUUUAAUGACUUGUUCAUAAAUUAACGCAAUAAACGUGUAAUGUAAACUUUCUUCACGUUAUAAUGUCGAUAGUGUAUUAAUACAUCUUUUUUAAGUUACCUUUUAAACUGGAUCUCAGCAAAGUGACUGAAACCUAUUUAUUUAAUAAAAAUGUAAUUAAAAACAGAAAUGAGAUGGCUCUGUAAUUAUUAUUAAAAUCACUGAGCUGAAAUCUUCACAAAGGCCGUUUCGGUCAGCACCUUGGACAGAGGUAGACUGCAACGAGCGCUCCACGCUUGGAGGGUGAAGAAUGAAAGACGACAAUUUAUUUUAUUUUAUUUUAUUUUAUGUUAGGUUUUUUUUUUUAAACAGGUGAAUUAUGACAAAUUUGAAACAAAGAUUGCAUGAUAUAUAUUCUACUACAAGCUUAAAAUUAGCUUCCUGCCCCUGCUGUUGAUUCGAUCGUGAUGUAAAACAGGUCAAAUAAAUUAAUUCAAUCCAGCUGUUGAUGACAGCGUAACGCAGACUUCAGCAUGUUGCCGUUCGUCUAAUUGCUGCUUUUCUGGAGAUCAAACUGACCCCAGUUCCCGAGAACUAGUCUGCUGCUGGACAGAGGGUCGUGCCCUUUUACUCUCCUGGGACACAACUUGACCCGACACAACCGGUCGGACACGUGUGCCUUCUUCGAUCCACGAUCCGACUUCAUGAUUAGUGAAGUUUGCGUCAUUCCUCCCAUGGCUCUUUCAGCGUGUAAAACUCCGAAUCACAGAUGCUGGUGUUACACCUGACCAACGCCUUAUUAAGUGAAAUCGUCAUCAUAAGAAAGAAAGAAAGCAUCGGUGUCCACCUGAUACCACUGAAUGGGAGCAUGUACGCUGUACACAUUUGCAGUGCACUUCUUUAUUUUGUAAGUCGUGCAAUGCCCGCUUCUUAAGUAUAAAUACACCUAAUUUUAAAUGCAGACAGCACUACCUUCAGUUCUCCUCCUUUCAUGUUGUGCACAGAGUAACAGUACAUUUAUGCUGCACUGUAUGCGUGAGUGAUGCGUGUGUGAGACCCAGAUGACCUGAGGAUGAGGGGCAGGCUGCAGGUGUUCUCUCUCAUGGCACUCAGUGUGUGUUCAUUCAUUCAUGCAUUCAUUCUGCUCAGAUAUUCUAGUAGUUGGCAGAUGUAGAUAGAUGGACAUGGUUUGUUUUUGUUAGAAGACACUGGAAAUCAUAUCACUAAAGCUGAGAAAUUAAUUUUCAUACCUUACUAUUGAGAAGAAAGCAAACAUUUAGAAGCUUUUAUUAUAUUUAUUAUGACAUUUCCAUCCAUUACACUGAUUUUAAACUAAAGUCUGGAUGAUAGGUGACAUUUUCACUCUUUCCAAUAGUUUAUCAGCAUUUUCACGGGAAGAGAGAUGUUUAAAGUGAACUUAGACAUAGUUGUCCUUCCUUACACAGCUGUGGUCCAGGCUUGUGUCUGUGGAGGGCUGCAGAUGAUUGUCCAGUCAUUUAUAUCUUCCAACUCAGUGAACUUUAGGUCUUGUUCCCCUCGUUUGCAUAAGAAUAAAAUCUGGUCCUGUGAAGUUCCCCAACCUAUUGACCCAGCUCCCCAGCAAUGAAUGGGACUGCUUUGAGGCUCCCCAGCCUCUCAAACAGGCUUUAACCAUGCUUUAAGUCCCAAUCAUGGUAAUUUAAUAUAUCUUAAGCCUCUGGCUGUUUUGCUGAAGCCCCUCUACAGUUUGUUUUAGGCAUUCUCUGCUUCUCCCCUCAUCAGUGAUACUCAGCAGCAAAUUUAAGGAGCUGCUGUGGUAUUACAAGUUCCCUAUUAGUAGCUAAAUAAGCCUUAGCGUCAAAUAAUUAGAAAAAGUAUUUUCUAUUGUUGUUCAGUCUUUUGAUUUUAAUAGAAGAGGGAAAUCGCACCACAUAGCUAAAGAACAGGGUGAUGAAAGAGUCUGACUAUUCAUUUAUCUCACUUAAAGUGUAAUAUCCUCAGUGGCCUGAAUUUUUGUCUUGUGGGAACAAAUAUACAUACACGAUCAAACCUAACUCUUAAUGCUAGUUUAAACUAAUUAAACUGUGUGGUGGAGGUCUUCAGUCAUGCAAU
rnacentral:lncRNA from 1 species